GAAGCACUCUCUCAGGCGCCAAACCAGAUUCCUUGCCUUAGGCGUGGGUGAGGAAGGCUUUUUGUGAGGUCUGGAAGCACAGAGGGAAAUGCAGGAAGGGCAUGCUGUUCCAUGAGUUGAGGACUAAUGAUUCAGAGGCGGCACAAACGUUCCGGCCCACUUCUGCCCCUCUUCAUUAAGUCAGGAGGCGAAUUCAGUCACGGAUAAUCGUACCUGUUAUCCUUUAUUCUUUCCCUCUCCCAGCCUUCGUGUCUGACAAAUUCACUCUUUCACUGAAAAAUUAGUGAGCACGAUCACCGUAUGGGACGUGUAGCAGUCGAGGAGACAGUCCCUGCCUUCAUGCAGCUGCAAGUCUGGGUGGGCAGGAGACGCACUGAGCAAGCGCCAUUGGAGUAUUGAGUGUUUUGGAAGGGGCAGUAGGGGGCGCUGUGGGAGCACACGCACAGAAAGAACCAACUGGAUCUGAAGGCCCCGGUGAGGACGUGGAGAGCGGAAGGAUGAAGAGGAGUGGGCGGGAGAGAGUUCCAGGCAAAGAGAACCAUGAUGUAAAAGCCUGGUGAGCCUGGACUGUGGGGUGACGGGGACAGAAGCAGGGGCUGAGGCAGCAAGCAGAAGCCUGCUGGGAAGAGCUUUCUAGAAGAGGGUAAGGAUUUUAGACUCUUCCCAAAGGACAGUGGGAAACUACAGAAGGAUUUAAGCCGGCUGAUGACUACCUGGUCACCCCGAUGGUUGGGCGGAUGAUGAAUUAACUGUCGAGCAGGACUUGGAAGGCCGCUGUCGUGGUAACUCAGAUACCCAAUUGAUAGCAAGCUUGGCCAUAGGACUCGCUUUAGCCAAUGAAACGUGAAGACGAGUGAUGCGCAUCUCUUCUGAGCCGAAGCUUCAAGAGCCGGCUCGUGGCCGCCACGUCUCUUCUCCCUUCGCCAGAGACCGGCAGUGUUUCGGAGGCUGCCCCGUGAGCGAAGAGCCUGGGUCCAUGAAAGAAGACGUGGAGCAGAGCCCAGCCUGCCCACGUCGGCCACGGGGCAAAGUUGAUGGCGUCCUUCUAAUAGAAUGUGACUUCCAUGCUGCAAGAAUCUGGGCUGAGUUGUUAGUCAUUCUACCCUGAAGCCAAGCCCGGGGCCCGACUAUCUGUGAGAAGAACGAAUGAAGGAAACUUAUGGAUCCGUCCUGUUCAUCAUGAUCUCUUCCAUUAGCAGAGGGUGCCUCUCAGAAGUCUGUAAACCGAGGUUUGACUCUUGACUCAUAUUUUACCAUCUUAGUGACUUUGGGCAAGUUACUCAAUCUCUCUGACCUUGGUUUACUUAGCUUUAAAAUGGGGUAAUAAGGGAGCUGGCCCUGUGGCCUCAUGGUUAAGUUUGGC